rnacentral:ncRNA from 2 species
AAUUUAAAUAGUGCCCAGGGUGCCUUAUUAAAGGGUAAAAGGGAACCAGGUGUAAUUCCUGGACGGUCCGGCCACUGUAAAUGGAGAGCUGCUUUCGUAAAGCCACCAGAAUGCUGUUUUGGGAAGGCGAAAGACGGUGAUGACCCAUGAGUCAGGAAACCUGCCCGGGUAGUUGUAUGCAU